rnacentral:lncRNA from 1 species
UCUUUUGUUUAUGAUGAGCAAAUGUAUAAAUGAUGUAUAAAUGUAAAAGACUUAUGUUUUGAAUGAAGAUCAUGUGAUGUAUAUAUAAAAGAAUGAAAGAAUGUAAAUGGCUAUAUGCAUGUAUUUGAUUAAAAGUAAUCAUAGUACUUGUAUGGAUGUUAUAGUGUAGAACUUUCAAUUUUAGUUGUUGCUUGCUUUCGAGCAAGCCAUGUAUAUCUCUAUUUCCGCUUGCGCAAAAUUAUAUACAUGUUGAUAUUGUGUUGAGUCUUGGGCGGGCAGGAGAAGUACUGUACGUCCAGCGUCUAUUGACCUGCCCGAACCGACCAAAUCAGUGGUCCCGGGGCGUGACACAAUUAAUUUAUCUUUUCUUCCGGUCGGGACCAUUUUGGCUUACACCCUAAUAGUUGAAGUAAUAAAUUAAUCUGACUUUGUACUGUAUGAUAAACAUGAAAAUUAUUAGGAAGCCCUACUUUAAAAUAAAUUAAAUUAUUGUUUUUUUUAAUUAGGGCCGCUUUGGUGUGCACAUAACCAAUCAAAAUAAUAAAUUAAUUCAACUUAGCGCCAAUCAUUAAAUAAUCGAAAAACAAUUAUCGAUAUUUAAUUUUAAUGUUUAUCCGGUCAAAAUAAGAAUAUAGAUACGAUAAUUUAAAACAUAAUAUCGCAAUCAAAUAUAAACUUUAGAUAUUCUAAUUUGACCAUAAUGAUAAGCAAAUAAAUUUAUGAUAAAUUAAUAUUGUAUACUAAAUUAAA